UGAGGAAUAUUGGACAAUGGAGGAGACUCUGAUCCAGCCAUGCCGCGUGCAGGAAGACUGCCCUAUGGGUUGUAAACUGCUUUUAUACAGGAAGAAACACUAGUACGUGUACUAGCUUGACGGUACUGUAAGAAUAAGGACCGGCUAACUCCGUGCCAGCAGCCGCGGUAAUACGGAGGGUCCGAGCGUUAUCCGGAAUCAUUGGGUUUAAAGGGUCCGCAGGCGGUCGAUUAAGUCAGAGGUGAAAUCCCAUAGCUUAACUAUGGAACUGCCUUUGAUACUGGUUGACUUGAGUCAUAUGGAAGUAGAUAGAAUGUGUAGUGUAGCGGUGAAAUGCAUAGAUAUUACACAGAAUACCGAUUGCGAAGGCAGUCUACUACGUAUGUACUGACGCUCAUGGACGAAAGCGUGGGAGCG
rnacentral:rRNA from 1 species